rnacentral:rRNA from 1 species
CGGGCUUAAAUUGCAGUGGAAUGAUGUGGAAACAUGUCAGUGAGCAAUCACCGCUGUGAAGGUGCUGCAUGGUUGUCGUCAGCUCGUGCCGUGAGGUGUCGGCUUAAGUGCCAUAACGAGCGCAACCCUUAUCUUUAGUUACUAACAGGUUAUGCUGAGGACUCUAGAGAGACUGCCGUCGUAAGAUGUGAGGAAGGUGGGGAUGACGUCAAAUCAGCACGGCCCUUACGUCCGGGGCUACACACGUGUUACAAUGGGGGGUACAGAAGGCAGCUAGCGGGUGACCGUAUGCUAAUCCCAAAAUCCUCUCUCAGUUCGGAUCGAAGUCUGCAACCCGACUUCGUGAAGCUGGAUUCGCUAGUAAUCGCGCAUCAGCCACGGCGCGGUGAAUACGUUCCCGGGCC